CGCGUAUGGCUCAUUAUAACAGCUAAAAUUUACUUGAUUUUGACUUUUAUCCUACAUGGAUAACUGUGGUAAUUCUGGAGCUAAUACAUGCAUAAAAGAUAAAACAUUUUACUGUUUUAUUGCGUAUAUUAGUAUUAAAACCAAGCAUUCUUCGGAAUGUUUUGUGUUGAAACUGAAUAUAUCAUGCUGAUCGUAUGGUCUUGUACCGACGACAUGUCAUUCAAGUGUCUGAUCUAUCAACUUUCUAUAUAAGUAUAUAGUACUUAUAUGGUUUUGACGGAUAACGGGGUAUUAGGGUACGACUCCGGAGAAAAUGCCUGAGAAACGGCGUUUACAUCC
rnacentral:rRNA from 1 species